rnacentral:tRNA from 1 species
AAGGAUUUAAGUUAAAGAAACUAUUAACCUUCAAAGUUGAAAUUACAAAAACUGUAAGCCUUA